GUCUUACAUACAAUGAAUUGUAAAAGGAAAAUGUCUAAAUGAAGCAAAUAGAAAUGGGCUGCAUUCAGGGUCAUGAUUUGUGCUGCGAUGGAGAUCACUGCAGAAAAUCACAACCAGUAAAAAUGAAGAGGACAAUGGAACACCAGCCCCAAUGCAUAUAUGUACAACAUACCUCCUGCACCUAAGUCCCAUGGAACAGCCCAGAAGAAGUUGUGGUGAAUCUGGUGUUAUGCUGAGGUCUUUCAUCAAUUUGGAGCUGUGUGUUUGUGCAGAGUG